UACGAAGGGGCUAGCGUUGCUCGGAAUCACUGGGCGUAAAGCGCACGUAGGCGGAUUGUUAAGUCAGGGGUGAAAUCCUGGAGCUCAACUCCAGAACUGCCUUUGAUACUGAGGAUCUUGAGUUCGGGAGAGGUGAGUGGAACUGCGAGUGUAGAGGUGAAAUUCGUAGAUAUUCGCAAGAACACCAGUGGCGAAGGCGGCUCACUGGCCCGAGUACUGACGCUGAGGCACGAAAGCGU
rnacentral:rRNA from 1 species